ACAGAAAGGCUCACUGGCUUCUUAGCAGUAGCUUUGCUGGGAGCUGCGGUAUUCCAACAGCCCCUAGUGUCGGCUGGGAUGAUGUGACUUGGGGGUUAAAUGCAGUUUGCAGUUUCAAAAAAGAAAAGCAUGAUUUGUUGAAAGAGGCUCCUGAAGAAGAACAUGUGAGUAAGAGUUUGCAACAUCUGAGAAGGUGGGAGUGCAUGCUCAGGGACUCUCAAACACUCGGAUUUGGGCCUGAAAUCAGGAGGAAGACUCUACUGGGGUUUCUAUGACUCUUGUCAACGUAUAAGCCUUCCUGUUGAAAUCCCUGACAGUACUUUUGACAGCAUGUUAUUAUCUUACAAUAAAAUCUGUCCCCAACCCCCUAGUCCUGCUGCCUCCUCUAGUUUCUAAGAAGGUGUGGAACAGUUAACUGUAGGGGGAUGGAUAGUUAAAAAGCAGAUUCUAGAAGUUCCUGGUGACUUGACUCUUUCAUGGGCUAGGUUGAGAUAAAACUCUCUAAUUUUGUUUUCAUUUUCACUGGAGUUGAAGUAACAACAGCAAGAGAACGCCUCCAGGUUUACAGUUGUAUGGCUUAUUGUGUAUAUAUCCUAUAAAACCGAAAACCAUAUGGAGAAUUCUGCUUUCUUGGCUUUUUGUGUGUGUGUACCAGGAAGUAGUAAAAUGUUUUGAGAUGCUGUUAAGUCCUUAAGUUACAAAAUCAAGAUUCCACCUUAAAAAUUUUCCAUACUAUAGUUUGUUGCAUAGCCUGGGGUGCUGACUGCUUGCCAAAUAUCUAUCAGAGAGUGAUUUAUGAUAUAUGAUACGGUCCCCAGCCCAAGUGGAGACUGCGUAGUUGAAACAUGAGAAAGGGGAGGCCUUGCUCUCUGGAAACCAUGAUGACUGGUUUCUGUUUGGCUUUUCCGAGAGAACAUACAGUACAAAACGUGCCACAUUUUACAGCAGUAAAACUUCUGUAAGAAACAAAACACGGUUCAGCUAGAAAGACUUAAUUUCUCUUUGCCAUUUGUUAACUGAUGAUUGUUUUCACUCCGAGUGGCUGUUGUUCUUUUUCCUCCAUUUCCCCUCCCUGGCCCCGCCGCCGCCACCCCCCCCCCCCCGCUGCUGCUCAUCUACCGAGCUCUGAAAUAGAAUCAAACAGCUCUGUUCUGGUAAUUAAAAUAUUUAAAAAUGAAAUCUC
rnacentral:lncRNA from 1 species